rnacentral:rRNA from 1 species
UACGGGAGGCAGCAGUGGGGAAUUUUGGACAAUGGGCGCAAGCCUGAUCCAGCCAUGCCGCGUGAGUGAAGAAGGCCUUCGGGUUGUAAAGCUCUUUCAGCCGGAAAGAAAACGCACGGGUUAAUACCUUGUGUGGAUGACGGUACCGGAAGAAGAAGCACCGGCUAACUACGUGCCAGCAGCCGCGGUAAUACGUAGGGUGCGAGCGUUAAUCGGAAUUACUGGGCGUAAAGCGUGCGCAGGCGGUUUUGUAAGACAGGCGUGAAAUCCCCGGGCUCAACCUGGGAACUGCGCUUGUGACUGCAAGACUAGAGUGUAGCAGAGGGGGGUAGAAUUCCACGUGUAGCAGUGAAAUGCGUAGAUAUGUGGAGGAAUACCGAUGGCGAAGGCAGCCCCCUGGGCUAACACUGACGCUCAUGCACGAAAGCGUGGGGAGCAAACAGGAUUAGAUACCCUGGUAGUCCACGCCCUAAACGAUGUCAACUAGGUGUUGGGGAAGGAGACUUCUUUAGUACCGCAGCUAACGCGUGAAGUUGACCGCCUGGGGAGUACGGUCGCAAGAUUAAAACUCAAAGGAAUUGACGGGGACCCGCACAAGCGGUGGAUUAUGUGGAUUAAUUCGAUGCAACGCGAAAAACCUUACCUACCCUUGACAUGUCAGGAAGAUUCCAGAGAUGGGAUUGUGCCCGAAAGGGAACCUGAACACAGGUGCUGCAUGGCUGUCGUCAGCUCGUGUCGUGAGAUGUUGGGUUAAGUCCCGCAACGAGCGCAACCCUUGCCAAUAAUUGCCAUCAUUUAGUUGGGCACUUUAUUGGGACUGCCAGUGAUAAACUGGAGGAAGGUGGGGAUGACGUCAAGUCCUCAUGGCCCUUAUGGGUAGGGCUUCACACGUAAUACAAUGGUCGGUACAGAGGGUUGCCAACCCGCGAGGGGGAGCCAAUCCCAGAAAGCCGAUCGUAGUCCGGAUUGUUCUCUGCAACUCGAGAGCAUGAAGUCGGAAUCGCUAGUAAUCGCGGAUCAGCAUGUCGCGGUGAAUACGUUCCCGGGUCUUGUACACACCGCCCGUCACACCAUGGGAGUGGAAUCUGGCAGAAGUAGGUAGCCUAACCGCAAGGAGGGCGCUUACCACGCUGGGUUUCAUGACUGGGGUGAAGUCGUAACAAGGUAACC